UUUACUUACACCUUCCGUGAAAUCUGCCCUUCUCUCAAGGCAGCAGACGGGGGAGGAGGUCACCGCUUGCCUGGGGCUUCCGCAGGAGAGGCAGGGCGUGCACGCCAGGACUUGCAUCUCUGAGACAGCUGAAUGUCUCUUCUGAUCAGGCUGCCAAUUCGAAGGCCCAGAUUUCCUGCACGACCUCUCCAAAGACUGACAGCUUCUAGAAAAGGAGUUCAUAAGCUGCUGCUCUGCCAGUGCCAGGAUGCCAGAAGCCACCGGCGUUCACGGAGCCAGGCGGCAUCUACCCUGUGCUUCCUGGGAGCCUGUACCCACUGCAGAUGGCUCUUCCCUACCGUGCAUAAGGUCAGGCGCCAGCCCUGAGAGCAGAGAGAGGGUCUCUGAGGUAGAUGGCAUGGUAGCCUCCUGAGCUUCCAGUCCGUCCUCUCCAGGUAAUCACCCCAUUUUGUUCUGGUCUCCCCACCUCCCCAUUCUCCUAUGCAGUUUAUGUGCUCUGGUACAAGCUGACUCCCCCUGGGCUUUUGAGAAGGACAUAAGGCUUAGCCCUAAGUUACUGGCAGAGUUGCACUCACUGGAUAUGUUUCUGGUUGGUGGAUGGGCUCUUGGCUCGUUCUGGGCCAAAGAUACUCAAGGGGAGGUUGACUGAGAGAAAGGUAAAAAAGCUUUCUCACUCUUCUGACAGAAGUUCCAAGAACAAGGCUUCUCUCCCUCCCUGGACACUGGUGAGAAAGCAAGUUGCUCUGGGGGCUGCAGGCCACCAUCUUGACACCGAGAAGGGAAACCAGCCUGAGGACGAGACUGACACGUGGAAGGCAAAGUGGAGAGGCAAAAGUAACUAGGACCUCAGUGGCAUCCGUCACCCACUGAAUCACACCACUCAUGAAGCCGAACUACCCCUGGACGUUCCAUUGACAUGAACCAAUAAAUCCCUUUAUUAUCUGUGCCA